UAUGACUGGUCACGCUGAUCCCUCCCUCUUGACGAACUGUGAUGCCAUUAAUUUGGUGUCGCAGGGAAUCAGGACUGUUACUUUGAAAAAAUUAGAGUGUUUAAAGCAGGCUUUCGCUUGAAUACAUUAGCAUGGAAUAAUGAAAUAGGACGUUUGAUCCUAUUUUGUUGGUUUCUAGGAUUAGCGUAAUGAUUAAUAGGGAUAGUUGGGGGCAUUAGUAUUCAAUUGUCAGAGGUGAAAUUCUUGGAUUUAUUGAAGACUAACUACUGCGAAAGCAUUUGCCAAGGAUGUUUUCAUUAAUCAAGAACGAAAGUUAGGGGAUCGAAGACGAUCAGAUACCGUCGUAGUCUUAACCAUAAACUAUGCCGACUAGGGAUCGGAUGAUGUUAAUUUUUUAAUGACUCAUUCGGCGCCUUACG
rnacentral:rRNA from 1 species